rnacentral:rRNA from 1 species
UACGUAGGGGGCAAGCGUUGUCCGGAAUCAUUGGGCGUAAAGAGCGUGUAGGCGGCCCGGUCAGUCCGCCGUGAAAGUCCAGGGCUCAACCCUGGAAUGCCGGUGGAUACUGCCGGGCUGGAGUCCGGAAGAGGCGAGUGGAAUUCCUGGUGUAGCGGUGAAAUGCGCAGAUAUCAGGAGGAACACCAAUGGCGAAGGCGGCUCACUGGACCGGAACUGACGCUGAGGCGCGAAAGCGUGGGGAGCAAACGGG